rnacentral:rRNA from 1 species
UACGUAGGGGGCUAGCGUUGUCCGGAAUCAUUGGGCGUAAAGAGCGUGUAGGCGGCUCGGUAAGUCCGCUGUGAAAGUCCAGGGCUCAACCCUGGAAUGCCGGUGGAAACUGUCGAGCUAGAGUCCGGAAGAGGCGAGUGGAAUUCCUGGUGUAGCGGUGAAAUGCGCAGAGAUCCGGAGGAAGACUGGUGGCGAAGGCGGUCUGCUGGGCAGUUUCUGACACUGAGGCGCGACAGCGUGGGGAGCAAACAGG